GCCACCCCGUCUGGGAAGUGAGGAGUGUCUCUGCCUGGACUUGACUCCAGUUCUACUGUUGACCUCAAGACCAAAAAAGCUAGAGAGCAAACACAGCCUACAGCUUUCAAGGAGAAACACUUGUGGCCUCUUUCUUAAUCAACUUCACGGUGACUUAAAAAUAUUUAUGUUAUGUCAAUUGAUACAAUGAUUGGGAUAUAUUCUAUUUUCUUAAAUAUUCAAGGUAAGAGCCAUCUAAAUUUUCAUUGAUGUUUUCUUGGACAAAAAGACAUUUAAAAGAUAUGAAAAGAUAACUGAUUUUAAAGGGCAAAAGAUUGCAGUUAAAUUUUUGAACUUUUAUAAUGAGUUCCUUCUUUUAUAAGACUCAGUCAUAGAUUAAGUCUUAUAUUUCAUAUGUUGAAAGUAAUGGCAAAAACUGCAAUUACUUUGCACCAACCUAAUACAUAGGCUCUGCCUUCAGAGUAUUUACAGUCCAGAACUGUGCUGUCUAAUAUAGACACUAGACACAUAUGGCUAUUGAAAUAGAAAUUUAAUAAGAUUAAAAAUGUAUUUCCUCAGCUGAACUCAUCACAUUUCAAACACUCAGUAGGUCCAUGUGAAUAGUUAUAUUUGAUAGUGCAGAUUACCAUCACCA
rnacentral:lncRNA from 1 species